rnacentral:rRNA from 1 species
UUGACCUCGAAUCAGGUAGGAAUACCCGCUGAACUUAAGCAUAUCAAUAAGCGGAAGGAA